GUUGUGGCUGAAUGGUUGAGCCCAUGUUUUGCAUGCAGAAGGUCCUAGGUUCAAUCCCUGGCAUCUCCA